UGUGGUCUGCCAGGCUGGCUCUGCCGCCCUGGGCCCCGCAGGCCGCAGUGGCUGAGAAGAGCACAAGGGACACAUUCUGGCUGACUGCAUCAUUCUAACAGAUGCAACCAAAUGAUAUUAAACUAUGAUAUGAACCCUCAAAAUACAAAAUGCAUUGCAGGUAGGAGCUAAGCUUUUUGUUCUUCGGUGAAAUACGCCAAAGUCCAGGUAAGUGCCCAGGAGUUCAUACACUAUAGGUAAUGUCUGUGCAUCUAGGAAUUAAUCUCAUUUUAAACUGUGGACUAGCAUUUGAGUUAAAUAAGUACAUUAGUUAAGAAAAUCAGGCUGAUUUUCUUCCAGUGCUAGCACUUUUUUCAGUAUGAAGUUCUGGUUACUUUUCCUUUUCUUUCAGUUCAUUCUAACUGAAUUUCUAUCCAAAUGAUUAGCGAAGAUUAAAAAUACUAAUAAAAAUUUAUAUCACUACAAGUAUCCUAUGUGAAUUAUAACAUUGUUGCCGCUGCUCUUAUCUGAGCCCUGUGAGAGUUCUUGGCCUUUCAUGUUUUCUCAGUAGAGAAUUUACAGUAAAUUUUGGCCAUGAAAAUCAGAGCAGGAACAAAAAUUCUUUGAUUUCAAACAAACUCCCAAGCUAGCAUCUUAAUGCUUUCUAGUUUCCCAAAGGUCCCAAUCCUGCAAGAACUGCAUUUCAGUUCAAACUCUGUGGGAGUUGUGGGCACUCAACAGAAUUAAGUUAAUACCUGAGAAGAUGCACAAUUCAAAUAAAACAUGCUUGCCUAUACAAGCCUUUUCUUGCUAUUCCUUUAAACACCCCUAAGUCAUAGUACUAUGAGGGACCUGAUGAAUAAAGGGUUGCCUGUCACACCUCUUUCUUCUUACUUGCUGUAACUUCAAGUGGGAGCCAACCACACUUUUACAAAGAUUUUCAAAUCUGAGUAUGUCUGGACUUUGCAGCCACUAACAUCAACCUUGUACAACAUGUGGGGAGGUUGGCAAACAUGCAGAUACUGGUUUUAUUUUAAUGUAAAUGGCCUAAAUCCUUGCUCAUUGAAGUCAACAGAGAAACUCUCAAUGGGUCUCAGUGAAGAAAGGAAAAAUUCUAGAUGUAACUCAGCCACUUUUCAGGGUGCAAUUCUGACCUUCCUCAUCCUUUGUGUGUGUGGGUGCUGUGAAACCAGCACAUUUCAGCCCACAGUGGGAGUAAGGGGAGCAGGCGCUCAUAGUCUGCACCACCUUUAUAAAAUGCAAAUAGUGACAGCUAACACACUUUGGUGCCCACUGCUCAUGCAAACUGCUACAAUAUUUCAUCUGUGCAAGCCAUAUCCCUGCACUUCUGAGCACAAGCAUGUGAAAGCUGAGCAAUUUUUUCCUAUUACUGUUUUCUUUCUUUCCAGGCCAGCAGAAAAAAGUCGCUGGGCACAGCCUGCCAGGAGCUCCACUGCCUUCCACUACAUCAGGAUGCUCUCCACUGACAUGAACAAGAAUGAUACCAGCGACUCUGGGAGAACAGAGAAGAGCAGAAAACAAGACAUGGUCAUCUGAGUUUGCACCGAAGAUAUUGGAGAGACACAGCCCAGCAGGCCUGAGCCGCUCUCAAAGGCCACAAGUGACAUCCCUUUGGCCAUAGCCUGGAUGGACAGAUUGCAUAGAGGACACCUCCUUUCUCUUCCCUUUUGACUAGCCAAGCCAAACAAGCAGCUGCACUGUAGUAUGAACACCAUCAAAGACUUCAUCAAAGUUUCUCCAAAACAACUCUGGGAUCACUGAAAUGCAAAAUUAGUUCUCCAACUUUACAUUGCCAGCUAUUUCCCUCACAUCUAGCUCUUCAAGCUCUUACUCCUGUAAGAACUGAAGUUUGAGCAGCUGAAAAAGCAUUCAAGCCUUAUGAGAUAAUACUGCAAUGCAAACAACAUACAGUACACAGCAAAACAUCUGGCAGCACAAGAGCUCUGGUCAGUCACAGUUUUGUAUUUUUAACUUAAUAGAACUACAGAACCUUAUGGAAUAUGCUUUUGG